rnacentral:lncRNA from 1 species
CCAGACUCCGCCCGGCAGAGGGGCCUCCUAGCUCCACUGCCCGCAGCCUGUUUUAUUUUGCCGGGAGCAUAGUGCUGCUGCACGCUCCACUCUGUUGGAAUUCAUUUCUUUGCUCAGUGGCUCACCUGCUGGAGCGGAAGCGCCCUGGACACAGGGGUUUUGUCUCUGUCCCUUGCUGCAUCCCAUGAUAUCAUUUCUUGAAUAGUGAACUAAUUAGUAAAUGCAAUGGUAUUCGGUGGUGAUAUGAAGUAGAAUUUUUAACGUUCCACUAUGCUAGUUUUGCUUUGUUUUCUAGAUUUUGGGAACCAGUAGGACAUUGACAUACAUCCGAGAACAUUCUGUGGUGGAUCCAGUGGAAAAGAAAAUGGAACUUUGUUCUACCAAUAUCACACUCACAAAUUUGGUGUCAGUUAAUGAGAGGUUGGUGUACACACCUCAUCCAGAGAACCCAGAAAUGACCGUGCUCACACAAGAAGCCAUCAUCACUGUGAAGGGGAUUAGCCUUGGUAGUUAUUUGGAAAGUUUAAUGGCCAAUACGAUAUCAUCCAAUGCAAAGAAGGGGUGGGCUGCUAUCGAGUGGAUAAUUGAACACUCUGAAAGCGCUGUGAGCUAAGGAGGCCUGUGCCUGUGCUUGUCAUAAAUGAUGCUUCCCAGAAGAAAGGAAAGAAGGAGGUGAGGAGAGGACGAGCAAGGACGGGACGGAAAAGCACGUCUGGCUGCGAGGGCACACAGGGCCGGGGAGGAGGAUUAGGCUGGACUGAUCGCGGGUCGCAGGUGACCCCGGGACCAGAUGUCCCUCCCCUCAUGAGCGUGCAACAGGGAGCAGCCCCAGCCAGCCCCACCGCCGCCGUCUGCGUGGAUGGAGGGCUCGAGGCCCUCGCCCGUGUCCCUUAGGGGCGGCGCCCAUCGUCCUGCCUGCCGCAGUGGCCCAGCCCCUUCUCUCCCUGCAGGUGACCCGCGCCGCCCCCGCCCGCCCGCCCACGCUGUCCUCCACUUAGGCUCCUCCACAAACGCUGGCGGGUGUGCCGCCCUCCAGCCUCUCCGCCCCCGUCCCCUCGGUCCUGCAGAUCACCAAGCAGCUCUCCUGGGCCCGCGGCUGCUCCGGGCCUCACAUCUGCUGCUGGCCUCGGUGGGCUCUGACUGCGGGGCUCACGGGGCCUGGGGCCAUGGCUUUCUUCUCGGCCCCCAAAUGCCUUUCCUGGAGUGGCUAAGCCUCUCCUGACGAGGCUCCUCAUGCGGGGAGAGGGCUGGGGUCCAGGGGUUUCCCGGCCCUUUCUGCAGGCUGUGCCAGCCCCCUCCAGUCUGCCACUGCCGUGCCCGGGGGACAUCCUGCGCCCAGGCUGGAGGCCCUGCCUCGCUGCUUGCCAGCCUCACCUGCUGGGGCUGGAGGCCAUGGAUCCCUCAUAGUAUCCAAGGUUUGAGUUCCUGUUUUUCGCCUUAUAGUUUUGUGAGUGUUUGAGGGACAACGACCAAAGGUCUUUUCCCCACCAUCUUUAAAUCAAAGUUGUUUAAAACAACAUUAAUUUUAAAAAAUACAUAAAAGCAACCCAUGCUUAUGGUUAAAAAAGAGUACAGGAGUCUGGAGUCCGUUGAAGGGUAAAGGCCUCCCGCAAGCUGCCAGUCGGCUCUUUUUCGCAAAGCCUUCCAGAAGUUUUCUGUGCUUAUGAAAGCGUAUGUGUGGCCUUUCUCUUCCCUUCUUUUAUUAAACACAGAUAGGUUUAUGCUGG